UCCACACGACUCUCGGCAACGGAUAUCUCGGCUCUCGCAUCGAUGAAGAACGUAGCAAAAUGCGAUACCUGGUGUGAAUUGCAGAAUCCCGCGAACCAUCGAGUUUUUGAACGCAAGUUGCGCCCGAGGCCUUCUGGUCGAGGGCACGCCUGCCUGGGCGUCACG
rnacentral:rRNA from 1 species